GACGAACGCUGGCGGCGUGCCUAAUACAUGCAAGUCGAGCGGACUGAAUGGGAGCUUGCUCUUGUUCGGUCAGCGGCGGACGGGUGAGUAACACGUGGGCAACCUGCCCGCAAGACCGGGAUAACUCCGGGAAACCGGAGCUAAUACCGGAUAACACCGAAGACCGCAUGGUCUUUGGUUGAAAGGCGGCGCAAGCUGCCACUUGCGGAUGGGCCCGCGGCGCAUUAGCUAGUUGGUGAGGUAACGGCUCACCAAGGCGACGAUGCGUAGCCGGCCUGAGAGGGUGACCGGCCACACUGUGACUGAGACACGGCCCAGACUCCUACGGGAGGCAGCAGUAGGGAAUCUUCCGCAAUGGGCGAAAGCCGGACGGAGCGACGCCGCGUGAGCGAAGAAGGCCUUCGGGUCGUAAAGCUCUGUUGUGAGGGACGAAGGAGCGCCGUUUGAAGAAGGCGGCGCGGUGACGGUACCUCACGAGGAAGCCCCGGCUAACUACGUG
rnacentral:rRNA from 1 species